rnacentral:rRNA from 1 species
UUGGAGGGCAAGUCUGGUGCCAGCAGCCGCGGUAAUUCCAGCUCCAAUAGCGUAUAUUAAAGUUGCUGCAGUUAAAAAGCUCGUAGUUGAAUUUCGGGACCGAUAUAUCGGUCGUGCCUCGGUACGUACUGGUAUUUUCGGUUUCUACCUUCUGACGAACCUUGAUGUCAUUAAUUUGGUGUCUUGGGAAAUCAGGACUGUUACUUUGAAAAAAUUAGAGUGUUUAAAGCAGGCUCACGCUUGAAUACAUUAGCAUGGAAUAAUGAAAUAGGACGUUUGAUUCUAUUUUGUUGGUUUCUAGGAUCGACGCAAUGAUUAAUAGGGAUAGUUGGGGGCAUUAGUAUUCAAUUGUCAGAGGUGAAAUUCUUGGAUUUAUUGAAGACUAACUACUGCGAAAGCAUUUGCCAAGGAUGUUUUCAUUAAUCAAGAACGAAAGUUAGGGGAUCGAAGACGAUCAGAUACCGUCGUAGUCUUAACCAUAAACUAUGCCGACUAGGGAUCGGAUGAUGUUAAUUUUUUAAUGACUCAUUCGGCGCCUUACGGGAAAC